AGUGAACGCUGGCGGUAGGCCUAACACAUGCAAGUCGAACGGCAGCACAGUAAGAGCUUGCUCUUACGGGUGGCGAGUGGCGGACGGGUGAGGAAUACAUCGGAAUCUACUUUUUCGUGGGGGAUAACGUAGGGAAACUUACGCUAAUACCGCAUACGACCUACGGGUGAAAGCAGGGGAUCUUCGGACCUUGCGCGAUUGAAUGAGCCGAUGUCGGAUUAGCUAGUUGGCGGGGUAAAGGCCCACCAAGGCGACGAUCCGUAGCUGGUCUGAGAGGAUGGUCAGCCACACUGGAACUGAGACACGGUCCAGACUCCUACGAGAGGCAGCAGUGGGGAAUAUUGGACAAUGGGCGGAAGCCUGAUCCAGCCAUACCGCGUGGGUGAAGAAGGCCUUCGGGUUGUAAAGCCCUUUUGUUGGGAAAGAAAAGCAGCAGGUUAAUACCCCGCUGUUCUGACGGUACCCAAAGAAUAAGCACCGGCUAACUUCGUG
rnacentral:rRNA from 1 species